CUCACUUUGAUACCAGAAGGGUUAAUUCAGUUUUUACUGAAUUCACAUGCCUUGAUACUUUUAGCAGAGAAACAAGGCAUGUGAACACUGCUCCUCCAGCAAGGACAGUGGCAAGACACGAAGAAGAUAUGUGGAUCAAGAAUGCAGUGGUAGAUGGAACAAAGGACUUAUUCUCUGGGAGCAUGGGGUGGGAUUUAUGAGAAUGGAUAAAUUGUAAUACGUAUGUAGGGAGUGUAUAUAAGCAACACACGUUAAGUGUCCACAUAAGGUUAGGAGUAUUCCCUGCAGGGCCUUGGGCCUGAAGAAAGGAUGCUCUCUUUAACUUCAGUGUUAAGGAGCCUUUUUCUGAUAUUUUGGACAUUUGGUAAUAAAUUUAUGGAGCAACUAGGAGGCACUAUGAUCUGUUAUGUUGAAGUGCAGAGCUUGGAGAUGGCUGGUAGCAAAUGCUGUGCAGCAGAUGUAUUUUUACGAUUCUCCUGAGACAGGUGGCUCUCUGUGCUCUGGUGUGGCAGCAGAAGUCUGAUUUGCAGAAUGUUUUAAUAACUGUGCAGCAAACAAAUGCCUGUGGUUUGCCUGAGUGAGACUUGCUGUGGUGUGAGCUGGUGGGACAUUCAGAUGGGAAUGCCCCACUCUGGCUGUUCAGCUCUGUCUCCUGCAGACAGGCUGCCUCUGCCUGACGCUGCUCCUCCGUAUCAGAACAGAUAAAUCCAAAAUGGGAACCCUGGGAGGCGUUAACAGGGAGGUGCUCUGAGGAGGGGGCAGCACAUCCUGCCUUUGGAAGCCUGGCUGUACACAGGGUGCUUACACAAUACAGGCUUUCACUGCAUACAUAUGGUGUUACAACAGUGAGAAGGAUCACAGGAGCUAUCCUUCAGUGCUGCAGUUUUCAUAUUACCCUGAAGCUCCUGCUGCUGUUGCUUGUUGGGAUUCUGCUGGCACUUGGAAGUUCGGAAUGUGCUAGUGGUGAUUAUUCACCUCACUAUGGAUAUGCUUAAUGUAUGGGCAUGGUAUUGCAGGUGGCUGCCUAGUGGUCUUUUCUAAAUUUCAUUACCACUGUAAAGAACAGAAAACCUAUAAAGAAUCCUGGAAUACUCAUAGAGCAUCUCAUGUAAGUGAGAAGGCAUUUCUUUCCUCACAAACGUCUCCAGUAAAAUAUAACUUUGUUUUUAACAGAGACUGGCAGACUUUUGUGAGCUGUCCAAUGGCUCUUUGCUUUUGAACAGCCCACUGCAUUGAUCUUACUAAAACUUGUCCCUGACCUGCUGCUCAGGGAUAAAGAAAAAAUGGUUAUUUCUCUAUCAAUCCAAAUCUGACAAAGUA